UUCGAGUAGGUUAGGUUUGUUUCUCGUCAUAGCUUUUUCAGUGUCAUUAAGGACAAUUUCUUGUGAGUACAGAAAAUUUUGUAAUAAUUUGGUUAUCCAGUGCACAAAAUUAUUUUUCCAGGCAACCAUUAUUGCGACACGUACUUGCCACAUUGCAUAAUGUGCAGAUGCUUUUCUUCCUCCAACCACCAAUCACUGAUUUGUGUUGACAAAUGUGCCACCUUGAUCUACCCAACAUUCUUCAGUGAAAGAAAGAUCGGUAACUAUUGCAGACGCUUUGUGCCUCAUGGAUAUAUAGUUACACCGUCGGUCCCGUUACCAAAUUAUUUGGGAAAAUGGUUUUUGCCCUCUAGUUGUGUUGCAAGAUACAAAUCUAUAAAAGGUCAGACAACGGUAACGUCUGCUUUGCAAAAUGCAUUGGAAGUGCAAGCGGAAAAAAUGAACGGGGCGCUGAAAAUCAUGAACGAGAACAUUCGAAAAAUGAAAACAGACCUUAAUCAAUCCGCAGAAAUUCAGAAAGAACUACUGGAAAAAACCAAUGUCGAGUUGAAAACUAUUAGCAUCGACUAUCAAUCAAUCAAUCAAGACAAUUCGACAAGCACUAAAUUUGAUCAAAUUUCAAAAACACUGAAAACUGUUGGACACGAUGUGGAGAUAAUUUACAUAAUUAUUUUCCUUGUGCUAGCCUUGACCGUUUGCCCUUUGUUGAUUUUUCUCGCUCCAUUUGCCAUUUUGGCUUGCAAAAAAAUUGUGAAUUCCAAAUCUUGGACACCAGAAAAAAUGCAAGUCCCGAGAAGACAAGAACCAGAUGUAGGUCACGCAGAUGAAGGUGACACUAGUACGGAAAAUUUCUAUCAAUAAUUUGUGAGGCUUCUUAGCCAUCAAGCAACGCCAUGUCAAGUGUGAUGUGCAUUUAAUGCGUUUAAUAAAUUAUUCUGCUCUAAAAAUA